CAGAGGGUGCAAGCGUUAAUCGGAAUUACUGGGCGUAAAGCGAGCGUAGUCGGUUAUUUAAGUCGGAUGUGAAAUCCCCGGGCUCAACCUGGGAAUUGCAUUCGAUACUGGAUAGCUAGAGUUCGGCAGAGGGAAGCGGAAUUUCUGGUGUAGCGGUGAAAUGCGUAGAUAUCAGAAGGGACAUCAGUGGCGAAAGCGGCUUCCUGGACCAGAACUGACGAUCAGGCUCGAAAGCGUGGGGAGCAAACAGGAUUAGAUACCCUGGUAGUCCACGCCAUAAACGAUGACAACUAGACGUUGGGGACAUAUGGUCCACAGUGUCGCAGCUAACGCGUUAAGUUGUCCGCCUGGGGAGUACGGCCGCAAGGUUG
rnacentral:rRNA from 1 species